UCCCUAGUAGCUCAGCUAGUAAAGAAUUUGCUUGCAAUGCAGGAGACCCUGGUUCAAUUCCUGGGUCGGGAA
rfam:TPA: Bos taurus chromosome 11, whole genome shotgun sequence.